rnacentral:lncRNA from 1 species
AAAAUUUGACAAUACUGUUUUAAUGCAUAGUUGAAUCAUGUAAUAAUAUAUGAUGAAUUUCAAAGAGGUUUGGAACCUUUGUUGUCUCCGCUUCUCUAGGGAAUAACAAUUUUAUAGUGGUUAGUCAAAUGAUUUAGGGAGUAUUUGCAGUUUUGCUAAAUUAAUGGAUAAAAAAUUAGAACGAUGUCCAUGUACCAUGAAAAGAAGUUUAUGAUACAUUAAUACAAAGGUAUAAUGUGGUUUUAAAUAUUAAAACAAAUUUAAAUAUUAAAACAAAUUUAAAUAUUAUAGGCUUCAUAUAUAGAGCAUUUACCAAAAAUUCACUAUUUUUGUAGGGGGUGGGGUACACAUAGAUUUUGAGAAAAAUUCAAAAAAUUUGAGAAUACUGUUUUAAUACAUAUAUGAAUCGUUGAAUAACAUAUGAUGAAGUUCAAAGAGGUUUGUAACCUUUGUUGUCUCCGUUUCUCUAGGGAAUAGCAAUUUUACAGUGGUUAGUCCAAUGAUUUAGAGAGUAUUUGUAGUUUUGCUAAACUAAUGGAUAAAAAAUUAGAACAAUGUCCAUGUACCAUGAAAAGAAGUUUAUCAUACAUUAAUACAAAGGUAUAAUGUGGUUUUAAAUUUUAAAACAAAUUUAAAGAUUAUAGGCUUCAUAUAUAGAGGAUUUACCGAAAACUCACUAUUUUCGUAGGGGGGUACACAUAGAUUUUGAGAAAAGUUCGAAAAAUUUAUCAACAUUGUUUUAAUGCAUAGCUGAAUCAUGUAAUAACAUAUGAUGAAGUUCAAAGAGGUUUGGAACCUUUGUUGUCUCCGUUUCUCUAGGGAAUAGCAAUUUUAUAGUAGUUAGUCUAAUGAUUUAGGGAGUAUUUGCAGUUUUGCUAAAUUAAUGGAUAAAAAAUUAGAACGAAUUCCAUGUACCAUUAAAAGAAGUUUAUCAUACAUUAAUACAAAGGUAUAAUGCGGUUUUAAAUUUUAAAACAAAUUUAAAGAUUAUAGGCUUCAUUUAUAGAGCAUUUACCGAAAACUCACUAUUUUCGUAGGGGGGUACAUAUAGAUUUUGAGAAAAAUUCAAAAAAUUUGACAAUUCUGUUUUAAUACAUAUUUGAAUCAUGUAAUAACAUAUGAUGAAGUUCAAAGAGGUUUGGAACCUUUUUUGUCUACGUUUCUCUAGGGAAUAUCAAUUUUAUAGUGGUUAGUCUAAUGAUUUAAGGAGUAUUUCCAGUUUUGCAAAAUUAAUGGAUAAAAAAUUAGAACGAUGUCCAUGUACCAUGAAAGGAAGUUUAUCAUACAUGAAUACAAAGUUAUAAUGUGGUUUUAAAUUUUAAAACAAAUUUAAAGGUUAUAGGCUUCAUAUAUAGAGCAUUAACCGAAUACUCACUAUUUUCGUUGGGGGGGGGGGGUACACAUAGAUUUUGAGAAAAAUUCAAAAAAUUCGACAAUACUGUUUUAAUGCAUAGUUGAAUCAUGUAAUAGCAUAUGAUGAAGGUCAAAGAGGUUUGGAACUUUUUUUGUCUCCGUUUCUCUAGGAAAUAGCAAUUUUAUAGUGGUUAGUCCAAUGAUAUAUGGAGUAUUUGCAGUUUUGCUAAUUUAAUGGAUAAAAAAUUAGAACGAUGUCCAUGUACCAUGAAAAUAAGUUUAUCAUACAUUAAUACAAAGGUAUAAUGCGGUUUUAAACUUUAAAACAAAUUUAAAGAUUAUAGGCUUCAUAUAUAGAGCAUUUACCGAAAUCUCACUAUUUUCGUAAGGGUAUACAUAGAUUUUAAGAAAAAAUCAAAAAAUUUGACAAUACUGUUUUAAUACGUAUUUGAAUCAUGUAAUAAAAUAUGAUGAAGUUCAAAGAGGUUUGGAACCUUUGUUGUCUCCGUUUCUCUAGGGAAUAGCAAUUUUAUAGUGGUUAGUCCAAUGAUUUAGGGAGUAUUUACACUUUUGCUAAAUUAAUUGAUAAAAAAUUAGAACGAUGUCCAUGUACCAUGAAAAGAAGUUUAUCAUAAAUUAAUACAAAUGUAUAAUGUGGUUAUAAAUUUUAAAACGAAUUAAAAGAUUAUAGGCUUCAUAUAUAGAUCAUUUACCGAAAACUCACUAUUUUCGUAGGGGGGUACACAUAGAUUUUGAGAAAAAUUCAAAAAAAUUGACAAUACUGUUUUAAUACAUAUUUGAAUCAUGUAAUAAAAUAUGAUGAAGUUCAAAGAGGUUUGGAACCUUUGUUGUCUCCGUUUCUCUAGGGAAUAGCAAUUUUAUAGUGGUUAGUCCAAUGAUUUAGGGAGUAUUUGCAGUUUUGCUAAAUUAAUGGAUAAAAAAUUAGAACGAUGUCCAUGUCCCAUGAAAAGGAGUUUAUCAUAAAUUAAUACAAAUGUAUAAUGUUGUUAUAAAUUUUAAAACGAAUUAAAAGAUUAUAGGCUUCAUAUAUAGAGCAUUUACCGAAAACUCACUAUUUUCUUAGGGGGUACACAUAGAUUUUGUAAUUUAAAGAUUAUAGGCUUCAUAUAUAGACCAUUUACCGAAAUCUCACUAUUUUCGUAAGGGGGUAUACAUAGAUUUUAAGAAGAAUUCAAAAAAUUUGACAAUACUGUUUUAAUACGUAUUUGAAUCAUGUAAUAAAAUAUGAUGAAGUUCAAAGAGGUUUGGAACCUUUGUUGUCUCCGUUUCUCUAGGGAAUAUCAAUUUUAUAGUGGUUAGUCCAAUGAUUUAGGGAGUAUUUGCAGUUUUGCUAAAUUAAUGGAUAAAAAAAUUAGAACGAUGUCCAUGUACCAUGAAAAUAAGUUUAUCAUACAUUAAUACAAAGGUAUAAUGUGGUUUUAAAUUUUAAAACAAAUUUAAAGAUUAUAGGCUUCAUAUAUAGGGCAUUUACCGAAAACUCACUAUUUUUGUAGGGGUUAACACAUAGAUUUUGAAAAAAAUCAAAAAAUUGAAAAUACUGUUUUAAUACAUAUUUGAAUCAUGUAAUAACAUAUGAUGAAGUGUAAAGAGGUUUGGAACCUUUGUUGUCCCCGUUUCUCUAGGGAAUAGCAAUUUUAUAGUGGUUAGUCCAAUAAUUUAGGUAGUAUUUGCAGUUUUGCUAAAUUAAUGGAUAAAAAAUUAGAACGAUGUCCAUGUACCAUGAAAAGAAGUUUAUCAUACAUUAAUACAAAGGUAUAAUGCGGUUUUAAAUUUUAAUACAAAUUUAAAGAUUAUAGGCUUCAUAUAUAGACCAUUUACCGAAAUCUCACUAUUUUCGUAAGGGGGUAUACAUAGAUUUUAAGAAGAAUUCAAAAAAUUUGACAAUACUGUUUUAAUACGUAUUUGAAUCAUGUAAUAAAAUAUGAUGAAGUUCAAAGAGGUUUGGAACCUUUGUUGUCUCCGUUUCUCUAGGGAAUAGCAAUUUUAUAGUGGUUAGUCCAAUGAUUUAGGGAGUAUUUGCAGUUUUGCUAAAUUAAUGGAUAAAAAAUUAGAACGAUGUCCAUGUACCAUGAAAAGAAGUUUAUCAUACAUUAAUACAAAGGUAUAAUGUGGUUUUAAAUUUUAAAACAAAUUUAAAGAUUAUAGGCUUCAUAUAUAGAGCAUUUACCGAAAACUCACUAUUUUCGUAGGGCGUUACACAUAGAUUUUGAGAAAAAUUCAAAAAAUUUGACAAUACUGUUUUAAUGCAUAGUUGAAUCAUGUAAUAACAUAUGAUGAAUUUCAAAGAGGUUUGGAACCUUUGUUGUCUCCGUUUCUCUAGGGAAUAGCAAUUUUAUAGUGGUUAGUCCAAUGAUUUAGGGAGUAUUUGCAGUUUUGCUAAAUUAAUUGAUAAAAAAUUAGAACGAUGUCCAUGUCCCAUGAAAAGGAGUUUACCAUAAAUUAAUACAAAUGUAUAAUGUUGUUAUAAAUUUUAAAACGAACUAAAAGAUUAUAGGCUUCAUAUAUAGAGCAUUUACCGAAAACUCACUAUUUUCUUAGGGCGUACACAUAGAUUUUGUAAAAAAUUCAAAAAAUUUGACAACACUGUUUUAAUGCAUAGUUGAAUCAUGUAAUAACAUAUGAUAAAGUUCAAAGAGGUUUGGAACCUUUGUUGUCUCCGUUUCUCUAGGGAAUAUCAAUUUUAUAGUGGUUAGUCCAAUGAUUUAGGGAGUAUUUGCAGUUUUGCUAAAUUAAUGGAUAAAAAAUUAGAACGAUGUCCAUGUACCAUGAAAAGAAGUUUAUCAUACACUAAUACAAAGGUAUAAUGUGGUUUUAAAUUUUAAAACAAAUUUAAAGAUUAUAGGCUUCAUAUAUAGGGCUUUUACCGAAAACUCACUAUUUUUGUAGGGGUAAACUCAUAGAUUUUGAAAAAAAUCAAAAAAUUGAAAAUACUGUUUUAAUACAUAUUUGAAUCAUGUAAUAACAUAUGAUGAAGUGUAAAGAGGUUUGGAACCUUUGUUAUCCCCGUUUCUCUAGGGAAUAGCAAUUUUAUAGUGGUUAGUCCAAUAAUUUAGAUAGUAUUUGCAGUUUUGCUAAAUUAAUGGAUAAAAAAUUAGAACGAUGUCCAUGUACCAUGAAAAGAAGUUUAUCAUACACUAAUACAAAGGUAUAAUGUGGUUUUAAAUUUUAAAACAAAUUUAAAGAUUAUAGGCUUCAUAUAAUACAAAGGCUAAAUUAAUGGAUAAAAAAUUAGAACGAUGUCCAUGUACCAUGAAAAGAAGUUUAUCAUACACUAAUACAAAGGUAUAAUGUGGUUUUAAAUUUUAAAACAAAUUUAAAGAUUAUAGGCUUCAUAUAUAGAGCAUUUACCGAAAACUCACUAUUUUCGUAGGGGGGUACACAUAAAUUUUGAGAAAAAUUCAAAAAAUUUGAGAAUACUGUUUUAAUGCAUAGUGGAAUCAUGUAAUAACAUAUGAUGAAGUUCAAAGAGGUUUGGAACCUUUGUUGUCUCUGUUUCUCUAGGGAAUAGCAUUUUUAUAGUGGUUAGUCCAAUGAUUUAGAGAGUAUUUCAGUUUUGCUAAAUUAAUUGAAAAAAAACUAGAACGAUGUCCAUGUCCCAUGAAAAGAAGUUUGUCAUAAAUUAAUACAAAUGUAUAAUGUGGUAUAAAUUUUAAAACGAAUUAAAAGAUUAUAGGCUUCAUAUAUAGAGCAUUUACCGAAAACUCACUAUUUUCGUAGGAGGGUACACAUAGAUUUUGAGAAAAAUUCAAAAAACUUGACAAUACUGUUUUAAUUCAUAUUUGAAUCAUGUAAUAAAAUAUGAUGAAGUUCAAAGAGGUUUGGAACCUUUGUUGUCUCCGUUUCUCUAAGGAAUAACAAUUUUAUAAUGGUUAGUCCAAUAAUUUAUGGAGUAUUUACAGUUUUGCUAAAUUAAUGAAUAAAAAAAUAGAACGAUGUCCAUGUACAAUGAAAAGAAGUUUAUCAUACAUUAAUACAAAAGUAUAAUGUGGUUUUAAAUUUGAAAGCAAAUUUGAAGAUUAUAGGCUUCAUAUAUAGAGCAUUUACCGAAAACUCACUAUUUUCGUAGGGGAGUACACAUAGAUUUUGAGAAAAAUUCAAAAAAUUAAACAAUACUGUUUUAAUACAUACUUGAAUCAUGUAAUAACAUAUGAUGAAGUUCAAAGAGGUUUGGAACCUUUGUUGUCUUCGUUUCUGUACGGAAUAGCAAUUUUAUAGUGGUUAGUCCAAUGAUUUAGGGAAUAUUUACAGUUUUGCUAAAUUAAUGAAUAAAAAAUUAGAACGAUGUCCAUGUACCAUGAAAAGAAGUUUAUCAUACAUUAAUACAAAGGUAUAAUGUGGUAUUAAAUUUUACAGCAAAUUUAAAGAUUAUAGGCUUCAUAUAUAGAGCAUUUACCGAAAACUCACUAUUUUCGUAGGGGGUUACACAUAGAUUUUGAGAAAAAUUCAAAAAAUUUGACAAUACUGUUUUAAUACAUAUAUGAAUCAUGUAAUAAUAUAUGAUGAAGUUCAAAGAGGUUUGGAACCUUUGUUGUCUCCGUUUCUCUAGGGAAUAUCAAUUUUAUAGUGGUUAGUCAAAUGAUUUAGGGAGUAUUUGCAGUUUUGCUAAAUUAAUGGAUAAAAAAUUAGAACGAUGUCCAUGUACCAUGAAAAUAAGUUUAUCAUACAUUAAUACAAAGGUAUAAUGCGGUUUUAAAAUUUAAAACAAAUUUAAAGAUUAUAAGCUUCAUAUAUAGAGCAUUUACCGAAAACUCACUAUUUUCGUAGGGGGGUACACAAAGAUUUUGAGAAAAAUUCAAAAAAAAUAGAGCAUUUACCGUAAUCUCACUAUUUUCGUAGGGGGGUACACAUAGAUUUUGAGAAAAAUUCAAAAAAUUUGACAAUACUGUUUUAAUACAUAUAUGAAUCAUGUAAUAAUAUAUGAUGAAGUUCAAAGAGGUUUGGAACCUUUGUUCUCUCCGUUUCUCUAGGGAAUAGCAAUUUUACAAUGGUUAUUCCAAUGAUUUAGGGAGUAUUUGCAGUUUUGCUAAAUUAAUGGAAAAAAAAUUAGAACGAUGUCCAUGUACCAUGAAAAGAAGUAUAAUGUGGUUUUAAAUUUUAAAACAAAUUUAAAGAUUAUAGGCUUCAUAUAUAGAGCAUUUACCGUAAUCUCACUAUUUUCGUAGGGGGGUACACAUAGAUUUUGAGAAAAAUUCAAAAAAUUUGACAAUACUGUUUUAAUACAUAUAUGAAUCAUGUAAUAAUAUAUGAUGAAGUUCAAAGAGGUUUGGAACCUUUGUUGUCUCCGUUUCUCUAGGGAAUAGCAAUUUUAUAGUGGUUAGUCCAAUGAUUUAGGGAGUAUUUGCAGUUUUGCUAAAUUAAUGGAUAAAAAAUUAGAACGAUGUCCAUGUACCAUGAAAAGAAGUUUAUCAUACAUUAAUACAAAGGUAUAAUGUGGUUUUAAAUUGUAAAACAAAUUUAAAGAUUAUAGGCUUCAUAUAUAGAGCAUUUACCGUAAACUCACUAUUUUCUUAGGGGUUAACACAUAGAUUUUGAGAAAAAUUCAAAAAUCUGACAAUACUGUUUUAAUACAUAUUUGAAUCAUGUAAUAAAAAAUGAUGAAGUUCAAAGAGGUUUUGAACCUUUGUUGUCUCCGUUUCUCUAGGAAAUAUCAAUUUUAUAGUGGUUAGUCCAAUGAUUUAGGGAGUAUUUACACUUUUGCUAAAUUAAUUGAUAAAAAAUUAGAACGAUGUCCAUGUCCCAUGAAAAGGAGUUUAUCAUAAAUUAAUAAAAAUGUAUAAUGUGGUUAUAGAUUUUAAAACGAAUUUAAUGAUUAUAGGCUUCAUAUAUAGAGCAUUUACCGAAAACUCACUAUUUUCGUAGGGGGGUACACAUAAAUUUUGAGAAAAAUUCAAAAAAUUUGACAAUACUUUUUUAAUGCAUAGUUGAAUCAUGUAAUAACAUAUGAUGAAGUUCAAAGCGGUUUGGAACCUUUGUUGUCUCUGUUUCUCUAGGGAAUAGCAAUUUUAUAGUGGUUAGUCCAAUGAUUUAGAGAGUAUUUGCAGUUUUACUAAAUUAAUGGAUAAAAAAUUAGAACGAUGUCCAUGUAACAUGAAAAGGAGUUUAUCAUAAAUUAAUACAUAAAUUUUUAAAAAAAUUUAAAGAUUAUAGGCUUCAUAUAUAGAGCAUUUACCGAAUACUCACUAUUUUCGUAGGGGGUACACAUAGAUUUUGAGAAAAAUUCAAAAAAUUUG